UACGUAGGGUGCGAGCGUUGUCCGGAAUUACUGGGCGUAAAGAGCUCGUAGGCGGUUUGUCGCGUCGUCUGUGAAAACCCGCAGCUCAACUGCGGGCUUGCAGGCGAUACGGGCAGACUUGAGUACUGCAGGGGAGACUGGAAUUCCUGGUGUAGCGGUGAAAUGCGCAGAUAUCAGGAGGAACACCGGUGGCGAAGGCGGGUCUCUGGGCAGUAACUGACGCUGAGGAGCGAAAGCGUGGGUAGCGAACAGGAUUAGAAACCCUUGUAGUCC
rnacentral:rRNA from 1 species